rnacentral:rRNA from 1 species
UACGAAGGGGGCUAGCGUUGUUCGGAAUUACUGGGCGUAAAGGGCGCGUAGGCGGUGUGUCAAGUCAGGCGUGAAAGCCCCGGGCUCAACCUGGGAACGGCGCUUGGGACGGCGAGGCUGGAGUUCGGGAGAGGAGAGUGGAAUUCCCAGUGUAGAGGUGAAAUUCGUAGAUAUUGGGAAGAACACCGGUGGCGAAGGCGGCUCUCUGGACCGACACUGACGCUGAGGCGCGAAAGCGUGGGGAGCAAACAGG